rnacentral:rRNA from 1 species
AUACGUAGGGGGCAAGCGUUAUCCGGAAUCAUUGGGCGUAAAGGGUGCGUAGGCGGCCCUAUAGGUCAGAGGUCAAAGGCUACGGCUCAACCGUAGUAAGCCUUUGAAACUGUAGGGCUUGAGUGCAGGAGAGGAGAGUGGAAUUCCUAGUGUAGCGGUGAAAUGCGUAGAUAUUAGGAGGAACACCAGUGGCGAAGGCGACUCUCUGGACUGCAACUGACGCUGAGGCACGAAAGCGUGGGGAGCGAACAGGAUUAGAUACCCUGGUAGUCCACGCCGUAAACGAUGAGUGCUAGGUGUCGGGGGUCGAACCUCGGUGCCGCAGUUAACGCAUUAAGCACUCCGCCUGGGGAGUACGUACGCAAGUAUGAAACUCAAAGGAAUUGACGGGG